CUCCAGAGCAUCGCAGCACAAGAGCACCACAUCCCUCACUCUCCUUAGUAGUAGUAGUAGUAGUGGCCAUCUCCAGUCUGUAAUAAGCCUUUGAGGCAUUGUAUCAUCCAGUGGUGGAGGUAGGCAGAGCCAUGGAAGCAUAAGGGAGCACAAGAGUAUAGCUGAAGUUUUAGUCAAGAAGAGCCAAAGCAAUGCAUGACUCCAUUGCGCACGCAAUGUGUGUUGGCUUGUGCAAUUUACAGAGCCAAUAGCUUCGCAUGCAAGCAACAGAGUAAUAUAUUGGACUAGUUUGUAUACCCAGCCAUGUCAUAGCAAUAUUUUACCAUGCCACGAGAAGCUGGUCUCUCAGCCAUGACAAGGUCUCCUGUCUAGACAAAGUUCUCAGUCUGGACAAAAUUCUCAGUUCAGACAAAGUUCUCAGUCAGGACAACGACUUCAGUCUAGACAAAAUCAUCUGUCAAGAAAAAGACUUCAGUCUGGACAAAAUCAUCUGUCAAGACAAAAGCUCAGCCACGCAUUGGAAUCAUGCAUAAGAUGCUUGACUGUGCAAACUACAAGGCAGAUAAAAUAUGGAGAUGCUUCAUCAGCUCAAGCAAAGGAAAACGCAAGAGGCCGAAGUUGUGUCAAGGCAGGCUGUAGCACACCUGCUAGAGAAGAAUAAAGGUAGUAAUUGCGCGGUGCCCCUCGCGUGCUAUCAAAGGAGGAGGACUGAGCGCUGGAACACACACAACACCAGUCUCCAGAGCAUCGCAACACCAGAGCACCACAUCCCUCACUCUCCUCAGUAGUAGUAGUAGUAGCCAUCUCCAGUUGUAAUAAGCCUUUGAUGCAUUGUAUCAUCCAGUGGUGGAGGUAGGCAGAAGGUAGUUUUCUUUUCUCUUUGUAAUCCCUUCGGGGUCUCCAGAAAGUAAAAUCCGUAUGUAAAUUAUGUUGUCGAAGUGAAGUAGUUUUGGGUUUCA